AUGUCAAAAAAACAUUACAGUCUCUGUUGCAGCCCUAAAAAGUCAAGUAGACAAGUUAAAACAAACUGAAUUCUACCACGAAAAAUAUGUGAAUCAGACAUAGUUGAUAGCCUCCUGGCCCUCCUCCAUUACAGUUAUAAUGGAAAAUAGAAACAUAUUCCAUAUGGUAGAUGGGUAGUAAUCGUUAUUCAUUUCAUCUAUUUUUCUCACUUUGAAUCAUUUCAGUAUAUGUUGGCCAAUUUAUAGCAGCACUCUUCCAUUAAGACUGA